rnacentral:rRNA from 1 species
AACGAACGCUGGCGGCAUGCCUAACACAUGCAAGUCGAACGAGAUCUUCGGGUCUAGUGGCGCACGGGUGCGUAACGCGUGGGAAUCUGCCCUUUGGUUCGGAAUAACAGUUGAAAACGACUGCUAAUACCGGAUGAUGACGAAAGUCCAAAGAUUUAUCGCCAGAGGAUGAGCCCGCGUAGGAUUAGCUAGUUGGUGUGGUAAAGGCGCACCAAGGCGACGAUCCUUAGCUGGUCUGAGAGGAUGAUCAGCCACACUGGGACUGAGACACGGCCCAGACUCCUACGGGAGGCAGCAGUGGGGAAUAUUGGACAAUGGGCGAAAGCCUGAUCCAGCAAUGCCGCGUGAGUGAUGAAGGCCUUAGGGUUGUAAAGCUCUUUUACCCGGGAUGAUAAUGACAGUACCGGGAGAAUAAGCUCCGGCUAACUCCGUGCCAGCCGCCGCGGUAAUAC